CGGAGCCAGGACGGCCCUGGCACGUAAAAGGGGCGGGGGGGGGCGUCCUCUGCCGGAAGUGAGGUGCAUUUCCGCUUCCGCCGCCGCCAUGCCGCUCGCCGCUCGUCUCGCCGGUUCCCUCCUGCGCUCCGCGGCUCGGCCUGGCCCGCCCCGGCGCGGCGUCAUCUCGGGGCCGCCGCAGCAGCCACUGGGGCCCGGGGAGAGCGUCGUGGGCUUCCUCGCCAUGUUCGUCUCCUGCCUGGGCCCGGCCGCCUGGGUGCUCGCCAACCUCGAGGAGUACAAGAAGCGGGAGUGAUUCCCCCCACUUCCUCCGCCAUCAUCCCACCGGGACCACCCGCCGCCGGGACCACCCACCGCCGGGACCACCGGGGGCCGCUGCACCGGGAUCCCCCGCUGACGAUGGGACCAUCCCGACCGUCCCCCCCCGACAAUAAAGGCCGCUGACACUG